GCUGCUCCUUUUGGGGCCGCUCCUUUUGGGGCCGUUUCCGCCGAUUUGCUCAAUUCCGCCUCCAGCCUCACCACGCUCCGGCUCCGUUUUCCUCCUUCCUUUUUCUUUUUUCUAUUUUCUCUAUUUUCCCUCUUCUUUGUUUUCUAUUCUUCUCUAUUUUUUUCUCUUUUUUUCUAUUUUCUCCUCCAUUUUUCUAUUUUCUCCUCUUCUAUUUUCUCUUCAAUUCUCUCCUCUAUUUUUCUAUUAUUUUCUGGCCUUCUAUUUUCUUUUCUUCUAUACUUUUCUAUUUCCUUUUUUCUAUUUUCUGCUCUUCUGUUUUCUAUUUUUUUCUAUUUUCUCUUCUACCGAUUUCUAUUUUUUUCUAUUACUUCCCAUUGUUUCCUCCUCUCUUCUUUUUUUCCUAUUCAUUUCUAUUCUCCUUCUUCUCCCCAUUAUUUUCUCCUCUCUUCUUUUCUAUUACAUCCUCCUCUUUUCCCCAUUAUUUUCUCCUCUCAUUUUUGCCAUUAUUUCCUCUUUUCCUCCCGUUUCCUCCUGACCUCUGCGUUCCGUCCCAGGGCCCCACGCGCGGUUUUAACCAAAAAGUCCGUUUUUCUCCUCUAAAUUUCUCCUCCCUGCCUCAUCGCCGCCUCCGCUCUUCCUGUCCCGGCUCCGCAAUCCCAGCUCUUCCUACAACGCCCCCGAACGGCGCCGGCCGGGACCAAACCGCCUGUCCUCCUCCUCCUGCUGCCACGUUUUGGGUUAAAAACGCGGCUUUUUGGCUGUGCCGGGGCAAUGGCCGCCUCUGGGGAGGGCUCGGGGCCGCGUCGGCGUGAAGCCGCGGCUCACCUCGCUCUGCCAUUCCUUCCACUCCGCGCUUCCACCCAUCUUUUCCAUCUCGCUCACUUCUCCCUGCUCUCUUCUCUCCCGCACACUCCUUCCUCCUCGCAUCCAUCUUCUCUCUGAGCCAGCUUCCUCUCUCUCUCUCUCCAAAACUUCACGUUUCAGCUCCGCGUUCACUGUCUCCCCCUCCACUUGCUCUUCGGCUGCCGCAAAGCCCCGCUGCUUUCGCCCCGCAUCUGGCUCGCCCUCCCCGCGGCUCCUCCACGCUCUCGUUUGCUCUCGCUUUUCCCAUUUUCCUCCUUCUUAAAGCCCCGUCUCGAGGAAGGGGAAGGCAGAGCUUGAAGGAAACGGCCCCCAGAGCCAAUCGGGGGCUGCUGGAAGGCGCCUGGCGCUCGCUGCCUCUCGCCUAAAAAAAGCAAAUUUCGGAAAUGUGCGGAAUUCAGCGCAAAUCCGCAGCCCUUUCCCUGCGCCUCUGCCUCUGCUCCCCUGCGCACCCCGCGCUCGGGCGGAGCUUUAUAGGGGAAGCAGGCGGCGCUGCGGCUCCGCUUCCGCGGGGGGGAAGGGGGGGGGGCAAAAUAGUCCCCAAAACGCCCCCAAAACGACCCAAAAUAACAAAAAAAAGAAAGAAAGAAAGAAAGAAAGAAAGAAAAAAGCCACCCCUGCGCAGCACGAAGCCUCUUUUCAAAGUGUUUUCCCCCCCAAAAAAACUCCUCAGCAAGGAGCGCUGCUGAAAGGCGUCAGCUCCUUUCUUUGUUUCACCACGGGAAGGGUUAAAUUUCACCCCUUCCCCCCCCCCCUUUUUUUUUUUCCUCCCCUGUUUUAAACAUCUCCAGCCUUUCUGGUGCCAUUUUCCAGCGUUUUCGCUGUUGUUUUCUUUCUUUUUUUCCCGUAUUAAUUUCCCCCUGGUUUUGCCCCCACUGUGCUGUGCCAACUGCGACCUCUCCCCCCCAAAAGCCCCGAAUCUGGGGGGGGGAAAGGUCCAAUUUCUAUGCA
ensembl:lncRNA